ACAGAAGGUGCCAAAUGUACCUGGUGCCCAUUGGAAGGACAAUGUCGUCCACUGAAUGCAGCCUGUCAACAUGCUGUUAGUUUAAGCAAUGCUACGUGUCCACGGCUCUCAAACCACAAGGACCAGCUCUACCUUCCGAGUGGAACCAAUCGUUCACUGACAAUCAAUGUGAACAAUGACGUACUCACCAAUUCAAGUAACAUUAAAUUUAGGCUGAGUGUUGAAGACUUCGGGGAGACCCCAUGUGUUGCAGCUUCAUCUCAACUGACAUGCUAUAUUACCAGAUCAAUAACUGUCAGCAAAUUGCACAAGAAGAUAUCCGUGAAGUACUCAAACAGUAGUUCUACUGUUGAUUUGUGGGUGGAUCUGGAUGAUUAUAACAACUACACAG